UUUUAUUAAAACUCUUUCUCUUCAUGUAAUAUUUGCGAUCCACUCCCAAUCUAACUUUGAGGCAUCAGAUUAGGAUUGGACCACUGGUCAGUUUCAGAGUCAUAGUAACCUUGUUAUGCAAUUCUCCUGCUGGGCAGCACGCUGUAGUACAGUGGUUUGCAGCUGAUCUAGGUCAGAAUUUGAAUUCUGAUAAACAAGAUGUGCGCGUUUUCUUGUUGCCGAUUUAAAAGAAAAGCCUUUGCAUCAUAUAAGCAAUAAAAAUAAGUGCUGGACUAUUAACUCUAUACUCGCUACCGACAUUUCCAUCGUCAUGAUUAACAUCUGAGUUGCAUUCAAAUUACCAAAUUCAAAAGACCCACGCCUUUGGUGAAGACAAAAUUUGUGGUGCUUAUAUACACAUAUAAAGAGCUUAUAUCAGAGGAUAGACUACUUCAUUGGGAGCCUUUUCAGUGUUUGUGAUUCUGAAUAAUAGAUCCACCACUCUGCUGAUUCUGUAGUGAACAAAUUUUGUAAUUAUAUGCUUUUGCAGAAUCAUAAAUAAGCAGUUAUAUCAAUGAGUUCCGGAUUAUUCUUUAAGAAGAAUGGAUUUCUGUGAUUCUGUUCUUAUAAAAUUCAGUGAAUAGUUUGGAUAAUGUUUUAUAUUAAGAUCGUCA